rnacentral:rRNA from 1 species
AUUGAACGCUGGCGGCAGGCUUAACACAUGCAAGUCGAGCGGAGUGAUGGUGCUUGCACUAUCACUUAGCGGCGGACGGGUGAGUAAUGCUUAGGACUCUGCCUAUUAGUGGGGGACAACAUCUCGAAAGGGAUGCUAAUACCGCAUACGUCCUACGGGAGAAAGCAGGGGAUCACUUGUGACCUUGCGCUAAUAGAUGAGCCUAAGUCGGAGUAGCUAGUUGGUGGGGUAAAGGCCUACCAAGGCGACGAUCUGUAGCGCGUCUGAGAGGAUGAUCCGCGAAACUGGGACUGGGACACGGCCAAGACUCCUAAGGAAGGCAGCGGGGGAGAAUAUUGGAAGAUGGGGGGAACGCUGAUCCAGCCAUGCCGCGUGUGUGAAGGAGGCCUUAUGGUUGUAAAGCUCUUUCGGCCGGGAAGAAAACGUAUCAGCUAAUACCUGGUGCGGAUGACGGUACCGGCAUAAGAAGCACCGGCUAACUACGCGCCAGCCGCCGCGGUAAAAC